rnacentral:rRNA from 1 species
AGGAUGAACGCUGGCGGCGUGCUUAACACAUGCAAGUCAAGGGGGCCCAGCAAUGGGUAACCGGCGAACGGGUGCGUAACACGUGAGCAACCUACCGAAUUGUGGGGGAUAGCCGGCCCAACGGCCGGGUAAUACCGCAUACGCUCGAGACGAGGCAUUUCGACUCGAGGAAACCUACGGGACAUUUCGAGGGCUCGCGGCCUAUCAGCUAGUUGGUGAGGUAACGCUCACCAAGGCGACGACGGUAGCUGGUCUGAGAGGAUGGCCAGCCACAUUGGGACUGAGAUACGGCCCAGACCUCCGUACGGGAGGCAGCGAGGUGGGGAAUCGUUGCGACGAAGUGGACCGUAACGGCGUCGACGCACGCGACGGCCGGCGUGGAGGGACUGACGCUCGUUACGGAGUACGUUAACCUUCGUUUCG